rnacentral:lncRNA from 1 species
AAUAUAAGUUUGGGUACGUUGUUAACCCUUGUUAAAAUCUGAUAAAGGAAAAUAGGAAUAUGGUUUAAAUUCUGUUUUUAAUAUCUAAGAAAAGUGAAUGAAUUCUGGAUAUGCUUAAUAUUUGAUGAACCUUAAUUUUCUCUUUGUAUAUAAUUUGAUAUAGUAUGAUUGUGAUUUCUGGUCUGGAGCGUGUGGGUUUGCUGACAUUAAAUGGGAUAAGUAUGUUUCGAUAAAAGUGAGUAGAAUAAAGUAUUCUUUUCAGUGGGAUAUUAGAUGUUAACAAGUAAUUGAGUUGGAAAGUAAAGGUAUGGUAUGAUAAUUGUACUGCAUGUUGGUAUUUGUUUGCAAUCAAGACCUAAACACAUAGGACGGAUAAAAAAAUAAAAUAAAAUAAAAAAAUUAAAGAUAUGUUAUUAUGUGAGGUUAAUAUAUGAAAUUGUAGUGACCUUUAAUUAUCGUGCAAAUCGGAAUUUGUUGAAUUAUUGAGUUUGGUAUGUUACGAAUGGUUACUUAAAAGAAUAUGCAUGUGAUUAAGUUAAAGUAAAUAGUAUGAUCUGGUAGUUGAGUGCUUGAACUUUGAUAUGUUGUGGUUAUUUGUUUGUUAAAGCUGGGAACGUAAUAGUUCAUGAGAGCGAGUUGGUUUUCUGCAUAAUAAGGGCUAAGAGCAUUAUAAUGAACCUAGUGUCUUGGAAAUUGGAAUGUUUCUAUCUAAAGUAGUGUUUUAUUGAGUAAGCUGAUAUGCUUUACAAUUUUCCAGAGGAGAUUAAUUAGGUGCACAAGCUCUUAUGUGUGUGUAUAUAUAAGUUAUGUAGAUUUGAAUUUGAUUCUUUUGUUAGGAUGUCCUCUCUUUAAAUCAUGCAUUGUUGUAGUUUUUGCAUGAUGUUUGUAUGGUAGUUAUGUUUAAAAGGUUCCUUAGAAUAGAUCAUUGGGUGCAUGAAUGAUAUGUGUAUAUGCAAAACUGAUAAUUUAUUCUUCAAUAUUGUAAUAUUUGCUUGACUAUGCGUGUCGUAAGGUUUUUUCCUGUUUUGGAUGAGUUUGAGUAACUUGAAAUUUUGUAAUACUUUCUUGUAUUACUCUAUAUGAUUCUUCAUCUGUCCUGCAUUUUGAGGGAUGAUUAUGGUACAGUCUUAUUUUAGUUAGAAGCAUGCACUGAGUGUGCAAUAUGGGUUGAAUAUGCUAAAUGAUGUUUGCUCUUAUUUUUUAUGGUAGUUCACGAGGUGACAAAGAUAAUUGUGAUGUUGUUGUAGGGUUAUGGAACAUAGUCUGCUGAGGAGAAGCAGAGGCUUUUGAAGUUGAUUGUGAACUGUAUGAAUUUUAUGAUAGAGUUUUAAUUUUAAUGAUUUGUUCUUAUGCUAAUCUUGUAGGAAUUUAUCUCCAAGAACAAGUUGUUUAUAACUGGUACUCUUCUACGUAACAGUGGAAGUGAUGGGUUAUCGUAACUGGCAAAGUGACCUUCUUGUCACGAUCUACUGAGAUUCAUCCAUUGUCGUUUUGAUUCGUUUUAUCCCUCUAUGUGACCUUGUUGUCACGAUCUACUGAGAUUCAUCCAUU